rnacentral:rRNA from 1 species
AACGAACGCUGGCGGCAUGCCUAACACAUGCAAGUCGAACGAGACCUUCGGGUCUAGUGGCGCACGGGUGCGUAACGCGUGGGAACCUGCCCUUAGGUUCGGAAUAACUCCCCGAAAGGGGUGCUAAUACCGGAUAAUGUCUUCGGACCAAAGAUUUAUCGCCUUUGGAUGGGCCCGCGUUGGAUUAGCUAGUUGGUAGGGUAAAAGCCUACCAAGGCGACGAUCCAUAGCUGGUCUGAGAGGAUGAUCAGCCACACUGGGACUGAGACACGGCCCAGACUCCUACGGGAGGCAGCAGUGGGGAAUAUUGGACAAGGGGCGAAAGCCUGAUCCAGCAAUGCCGCGUGAGUGAUGAAGGCCUGAGGGUUGUAAAGCCCUUUUAACCGGGAUGAUAAUGACAGUACCGGGAGAAUAAGCCCAGGCUAACUCCGUG